AACGAACGCUGGCGGCAUGCCUAACACAUGCAAGUCGAACGAGACCUUCGGGUCUAGUGGCGCACGGGUGCGUAACGCGUGGGAACCUGCCCUUAGGUUCGGAAUAACUCCCCGAAAGGGGUGCUAAUACCGGAUAAUGUCUUCGGACCAAAGAUUUAUCGCCUUUGGAUGGGCCCGCGUUGGAUUAGCUAGUUGGUAGGGUAAAAGCCUACCAACGAGACGAUACAUAGCUGGUCUGAGAGGAUGAUCACCCACACUUGGACUGAGACACGGCCCAGACUCCUACGGGAGGCAGCAGUGCGGAAUAUUGGAAAAUGGCGUAAAGCCUGAUCCAGCUACGCCGCGUGAGCGAUGAAGGCCUUAGGGUUGUAAAGCUAUUUUACCCGGGAUGAUAAUGACAGUACCGGGAGAAUAAGCCCCGGCUAACUCCGUG
rnacentral:rRNA from 1 species